GUUAAUAAAAAAUAACAUAUACCUCCACAAGGUCACCAUUAACAUCAAUGAGAUAAAGCAAAAGCCCUUUAGAAACUGCAAAGCACUCCGGAAAUUUCAAGGACUGUUAUUGCAGAUUCCUGAAAAUGUUUUAAUAAGGGAAACAGGAUUCUUUGGAACCAAGAAAGAGAAUACUUAAAAUGCACAGUUACAUGGAAGAACAUGCGGGCUUGGGCAACAGAGGAAGGGGAAACUGUGCACAUCACAUGUGUGCGGCUUUGCCAAGAGGAGAGACCCCCUGAGACUUCUAUCACCAGUCUGGCUCUGGGUUCAGUUUAACAACUUGCUUUGAAUGCAUAUGAAUCCUGACGGCUAAAUCUGCAAAUGCCUCCCCAUAAAGGUUAUGCACCCACUGUAAAUGCAGCAUCUCUUCAAAAAGAUGGCCAGACCCAAAUGCCUGUUUUUGAAAGACAGUGGAAAACGGAGAAGAGGGAAGCACCAGCAAGACAGAAAGGAGCACAACCAACCUCCCCCGAACGGGAGGCGCAGAGGAAGCAGGCGGCUGUGCUCCUUGAAAGCAGCCAUCCGUCCAACUCCAUUUCAAUAAUGUUUGCAAUUUUCCUCCUACUGGGUUGACUGGAGGCACAGCUGCCCCAUACGCG
rnacentral:lncRNA from 1 species